rnacentral:rRNA from 1 species
UACGUAGGGUCCGAGCGUUGUCCGGAAUUACUGGGCGUAAAGAGCUCGUAGGCGGUCUGUCGCGUCGGAUGUGAAAAUCCAGGGCUUAACCCUGGACCUGCAUUCGAUACGGGCAGACUAGAGUUCGGUAGGGGAGACUGGAAUUCCUGGUGUAGCGGUGAAAUGCGCAGAUAUCAGGAGGAACACCGGUGGCGAAGGCGGGUCUCUGGGCCGAUACUGACGCUGAGGAGCGAAAGCGUGGGGAGCGAACAGG